rfam:Pluralibacter gergoviae strain JS81F13 contig_4, whole genome shotgun sequence.
GGGUGCCUGAAGCCGUCUGCUUCGGGUAACUGCGGCAGACAGCAAAAAGCCCCAAGCGAUUUUUCAAUCAACUUGAGGCUCUCUGUUAUGCAUGAACAACAUGAUAGUAGCCUCCUGACUUCAGAGGUGCAAGAAAAUGUCACGAAAG